rnacentral:lncRNA from 1 species
AAAGAUUUUGUUAAGCAUAUUGUAAUAACUCAAAUUUGCCCGGUCCAUAAAAUAAAUAAAACAAAAAAACAAAAAAUAAUAAAAGUCCUUUUACAAGUCCAAAUUGAUAGCCUAUAGACAUAGCCCAGCUUGAGCACUAUCUAUGGCCCAUUUACAAGAGACACUAGUAGCCCACAUACACCUAAAACCCUUAGCUCGAAUACCCAAAUUAGACCCAAAUCAGCGAGGCCCAGGAUGGCCCAAUGCCUAAACCAAAUUAGGAAACCCUAGGGUUUCUAGAAACAUUUGCGCCGCAAGCCUGAUCCCAAUCGUCACGCCGAAGUCAGCAACCAGGCCUCAUCUCGCGCCGUAAUCAGCGUGCCAACCCCUCGUCACCGGAUCUUCACUCGCCUGCAAAAGGAAAGAAACAACAAAGACAACGCAAAUAUAGCAGGAAAUAAAGAUUGUAAAUAUAUUUUCAGUGGCUAUAAAAGCCCGAAUCAAAAUGAUGUAAAUAGGGGUUUUUUUUUUUGAUACGCACAUAUACAAUCAAAGUACAGCAGUUUAUCGAAGAAACAGAGGUGAUUGGUUUUAUCAUUGUUUUUAUUCAGAAUAUAUACAUAUAAAAAGAAACUAAAAAGUAAUAAAAGAUUAUUACCUCUCUAUUCGCUGUAAAAAGCGAAACUUUUUCGAAUUCCGACCGCCGUACAUGGCAGAGUCGACGGUGGCUCGUGGGCGCGUGAGAGCCCGAUGACGGAGGCUCGACGGAGCUCCGAGGGCCUGUUCUCUGUCCCCUUCAGAGCUUUCUUCAGUUUUUU